rnacentral:rRNA from 1 species
GACGAACGCUGGCGGCGUGCCUAAUACAUGCAAGUAGAACGCUGAAGGAGGAGCUUACUUCUCUGGAUGAGUUGCGAACGGGUGAGUAACGCGUAGGUAACCUGCCUGGUAGCGGGGGAUAACUAUUGGAAACGAUAGCUAAUACCGCAUAAUAGUAGUUGUUGCAUGACAACUGUUUGAAAGGUGCAAUUGCAUCACUACCAGAUGGACCUGCGUUGUAUUAGCUAGUUGGUGGGGUAAGGGCUCACCAAGGCGACGAUACAUAGCCGACCUGAGAGGGUGAUCGGCCACACUGGGACUGAGACACGGCCCAG